AGCAGCCGCGGUAAUUCCAGCUCCAAUAGCGUAUAUUAAAGUUGUUGCAGUUAAAAAGCUCGUAGUUGAAUUUCGGGGUUAGUAGGUUGGUCGUGCCACUGGUAUGUACUGGCUCUACUGAUCCCUCCUUCUUGUAGAACCGUAAUGCCAUUAACUUGGUGUUGCGGGGAAACAGGACUGUUACUUUGAAAAAAUUAGAGUGUUUAAAGCAGGCUAACGCUUGAGUACAUUAGCAUGGAAUAAUGAAAUAGGACGCUCGAUCCUAUUUUGUUGGUUUCUAGGAUUGACGUAAUGAUUAAUAGGGAUAGUUGGGGGCAUUAGUAUUCAAUUGUCAGAGGUGAAAUUCUUGGAUUUAUUGAAGACUAACUACUGCGAAAGCAUUUGCCAAGGAUGUUUUCAUUAAUCAAGAACGAAAGUUAGGGGAUCGAAGACGAUCAGAUACCGUCGUAGUCUUAACCAUAAACUAUGCCGACUAGGGAUCGGAUGAUGUUAAUCUUUUAAUGACUCAUUCGGCGCCUUA
rnacentral:rRNA from 1 species